AAGCGAAAAAAAAAAAAAAAAAAAAAAAAGGUAAAUCACAAAAGACAAGUUGACCUGAUUUGAACCUUCCCCCUCCUGUCCUGCAGUUACAAUUAGUUGCUUGUAUUUCGGAUUUCGUUCUC
rnacentral:ribozyme from 14 species